GAUGAAGAACGUAGCGAAAUGCGAUAAGUAAUGUGAAUUGCAGAAUUCAGUGAAUCAUCGAAUCUUUGAACGCACAUUGCGCCCGCCAGUAUUCUGGCGGGCAUGCCUGUUCGAGCGUCAUUUCAACCAUCAAGCCCCCCUGGCUUGGUGUUGGACGGUUUUGGUGGGACGUGCAGCCUCUCACCCCUCCUAAAGACAAUGACGGCGGCGUCGUUGGAACCCCCGGUACACUGAGCUUCUUAACUGAGCACGUACUGGAUGCGGGUACGCGAUGCACGGUCUGCCUCCCCUUUAGGGAGAACUUUUUCUUAAGGUUGACCUCGGAUCAGGUAGGAAUACCCGCUGAACUUAAGCAUAUCAAUAAGCGGAGGA
rnacentral:misc_RNA from 1 species